GAUAAAUAUAGUUCAGCGGUAGAAUAAUGGUUUGUGGUUCCAUUGGUCGAAGGUUCGAAUCCUUCUAUUUAUCU
rnacentral:tRNA from 1 species